UAUUAUACUGAUAAGUGAAAUAAACCCUUAAUUAUUAAUAGAUACAGUCUUUAAAUUUGAAGAAUUUGGCGGUGAUUUAAUCUUAUUAGAGGAAUCUGUUUUUGAAUCGAUAAACCACGUAGAAUCUCACUCGCUUUAGUUUAGCUUGUAUACCGUCAUUAUCAGAUGAUUUUUAAAGGAAUAUUGAAAUCAUUAAAGUUUAUAAAUUUAAAUAAAUUAAAUUAGAUCAAGGUGUAGCCUAUAAGUGAGUUAAAAUGGAUUACAAUAAAGUAUAUUUAAUACGAAAUAGUCGCAGGAAGAGUACUAUGAAGGAGGAUUUAAUUGUAAUAAGAGUUUAAUAAGCUCUUAAGAUAUAGGCGCUAAAUUAU
rnacentral:rRNA from 1 species